rnacentral:lncRNA from 1 species
UGCCACUACUGUUCUCACCCGCUGCUUAGCAUUAUGAACUUGUUUCUCGCAGUUUAGGUAAGGAGGAAUUAACUUGCACGGCAACUUGAUUGUCUUAACCCUCUUCUUGAUCAAUUUGGCUAAGGGAAUCUUUCACUAAUAGUCCAUGAUCUCGGGCAUCUCUCCAAGCGAACAACGUUGCCCCAAGUGUCCCUAGCAUGAAGCAUUUCAGUAAAGGUCUCUUCCUCAGAAGAUCUGCAAUGUGG